UACGAGGGGGGCGAGCGUUGUUCGGAAUUACUGGGCGUAAAGGGCGCGCAGGCGGCUCUGAAAGUCAGAUGUGAAAGCCCCGGGCUUAACCUGGGAAUUGCAUUUGAUACUCUGGAGCUUGAGUACGGGAGAGGAGAGUGGAAUUCCCAGUGUAGAGGUGAAAUUCGUAGAUAUUGGGAAGAACACCAGUGGCGAAGGCGACUGCCUGGACGGCACCUGACGCUGAGGCGCGAAAGCUAGGGGAGCAAACGGG
rnacentral:rRNA from 1 species